CGAGUAGGCGGUUUUACAAGUCAGAUGUGAAAUGCAUGGGCUCAACCCAUGAACUGCAUUUGAAACUGUAAGACUUGAGUGCGGUAGAGGAAAGUGGAAUUCCCAGUGUAGCGGUGAAAUGCGUAGAUAUUGGGAGGAACACCAGUGGCGAAGGCGACUUUCUGGGCCGUAACUGACGCUGAGGCGCGAAAGCGUGGGGAGCAAACAGGAUUAGAUACCCUGGUAGUCCACGCCGUAAACGAUGGAUGCUAGGUGUGGGAGGUAUCGACCCCUUCCGUGCCGGAGCUAACGCAAUAAGCAUCCCGCCUGGGGAGUACGACCGCAAGGUUGAA
rnacentral:rRNA from 1 species